rnacentral:rRNA from 1 species
AACGAACGCUGGCGGCAGGCCUAACACAUGCAAGUCGAGCGCGCCCUUCGGGGUGAGCGGCGGACGGGUGAGUAACGCGUGGGAACGUGCCCUUCUCUGCGGAAUAGCCUCGGGAAACUGAGAGUAAUACCGCAUACGCCCUUUGGGGGAAAGAUUUAUCGGAGAAGGGUCGGCCCGCGUUGGAUUAGGUAGUUGGUGGGGUAAUGGCGGACCAAGCCGACGAUCCAUAGCUGGUUUGAGAGGAUGAUCAGCUACACUGGGACUGAGACACGGCCCAGCCUCCUACGGGAGGGAGCAGUGGGGAAUCUUAGACAAUGGGGGCAACCCUGAUCUAGCCAUGCCGCGUGAGUGAUGAAGGCCUUAGGGUUGUAAAGCUCUUUCAGCUGGGAAGAUAAUGACGGUACCAGCAGAAGAAGCCCCGGCUAACUCCGUG